CAGCAGCCGCGGUAAUACAGAGGGUGCGAGCGUUAAUCGGAUUUACUGGGCGUAAAGCGUGCGUAGGCGGCUUCUUAAGUCGGAUGUGAAAUCCCUGAGCUUAACUUAGGAAUUGCAUUCGAUACUGGGAAGCUAGAGUAUGGGAGAGGAUGGUAGAAUUCCAGGUGUAGCGGUGAAAUGCGUAGAGAUCUGGAGGAAUACCGAUGGCGAAGGCAGCCAUCUGGCCUAAUACUGACGCUGAGGUACGAAAGCAUGGGGAGCAAACAGGAUUAGAUACCCCCGUAGUCCAUGUCUCUUAUAA
rnacentral:rRNA from 1 species